rnacentral:rRNA from 1 species
UACGAAGGACCCAAGCGUUAUCCGGAUUUAUUGGGUUUAAAGGGUGCGUAGGCGGGUUAUUAAGUCAGUGGUGAAAGCCUUCAGCUUAACUGAAGAAUUGCCAUUGAUACUGGCAACCUAGAGACUGGAAGAGGUUAGUGGAAUUCCCAGUGUAGAGGUGAAAUUCGUAGAUAUUGGGAAGAACACCAGUGGCGAAGGCGGCUAACUGGUCCAGCACUGACGCUGAGGUGCGAAAGCCAGGGGAGCAAACGGG